UACAGAGGGUGCGAGCGUUAAUCGGAAUUACUGGGCGUAAAGCGCGCGUAGGCGGCUUUGUAAGUCGGAUGUGAAAUCCCCGGGCUUAACCUGGGAACUGCAUUCGAGACUGCAUGGCUAGAGUAUGGGAGAGGGAAGUGGAAUUUCAGGUGUAGCGGUGAAAUGCGUAGAUAUCUGAAGGAACAUCAGUGGCGAAAGCGACUUCCUGGACCAAUACUGACGCUCAUGUGCGAAAGCGUGGGGAGCAAACAGG
rnacentral:rRNA from 1 species